AGUUGGUGGAGCGAUCUGUCUGGUUAAUUCCGAUAACGAACGAGACCCCAACCUGCUAACUAGCCCUCGGGUCCUGCUUCUGUUGGGCCCGACGGAAUGAUUCGCUUCUUAGAGGGACUCGCGGCGCCUAGCCGCACGAAGGGGGGCGAUAACAGG
rnacentral:rRNA from 1 species